CAGUCGCCGCGGUAAAACGGAGGGUGCAAGCGUUAAUCGGAAUUACUGGGCGUAAAGCGCACGCAGGCGGUUUGUUAAGUCAGAUGUGAAAUCCCCGAGCUUAACUUGGGAACUGCAUUUGAAACUGGCAAGCUAGAGUCUUGUAGAGGGGGGUAGAAUUCCAGGUGUAGCGGUGAAAUGCGUAGAGAUCUGGAGGAAUACCGGUGGCGAAGGCGGCCCCCUGGACAAAGACUGACGCUCAGGUGCGAAAGCGUGGGGAGCAAACAGGAUUAGAUACCCCUGUAGUCCCUGUCUCUUAUAC
rnacentral:rRNA from 1 species